AUGUUUUUUCUCUGUGGCAUUCUAAAGAAUUUUUUUGCAACUUUUCUCCAUGUCAUCAAGUAUUGAAUUAGGCAGAAGUGUAGAUUGCAUUGCAUAAAGAGGAUAAAUGUUUAGGACAUACUUUAUAAGAGUAGUUCUUUCCGCAAUAUUAAUUAACUUAGCUGCCACCCCCUAAUUUUGUCUUUUGUUUUAAUUAACAUUGAAACAUAAUCCCUUUUUUUUUUUUUAACUUAUUAGACAAAAUACUAACACCCAAAUAUUUCCCAAAAGAAAUUUUAGUAAGACAUUCAUAUUUCUUUAUUAAUAAAAUGCCUAUAAAAGGGAUUUAGUUUAGGAGGAAAAACAAUUUUUGAUUUUUGAAAUUAAAAAAAAACCCAAUUCAUUCCCAAAUCUGUGCAACACCUCCAUUAUGACUCCACAUUUAGCUACAGAAGCCUUUUACACAACUACUACAAUGUAAUUAGUGCCAAUGGUGAUCCAGGAGAUCGGAGCACCACCGCUGCGUGCAGCACGCCUGCACCGCUCCAAGCAUCCACCAAUCAAGCCGCGACUUUGAGUAUUUAGAUACACUAGUGGUGAUCGAUUGGAUUCAAUUCAUGUUAAAUUGGGUGUUUCGAAAAUUACGCACGCAAACUGUUUGUGAAACGAAGUUAAGCAUAAUGAGUAGCCUAAUAGGAGAUCAGUCUCAUUACUCAGCCAAAUCAAUCUAAGAUCUAUGCAAAAUUGGAAUAAAUCAUUUGGAGAAGUUCACGAAGCUGGACUACUGCCCCAAAAGAGUUUAACUUGCACAGGAGGAAGUUGAAGUACCUAUGAUCAAUAAGCGCAGCAAGAAAUUAGCACCUGCUGUUGGUUUGCUCGUGACUAGCAGUCGCAUGCCAAUUACAAUAAUAAAGAACCUCAGAAUUUAUGGCGACUGUUACUAGGUGAUGAAACUUGUGUCAUUGAUUGAGAAGCCUACUAUCAUUGUCCGAGAUCCAAAACGCUUUCAUCAUAAUUCAAAUGGGAUUUGUGCUCCCAAGGAUUAUUGGUGAACUUAUUCCUGGAUUCUGCAAAAGAUAUGCAUAGUUUUGCUAUUAUUGGGACGUGAAAGGUUUUCCAUCAAUAACUUCAAUGAGGUAAGGUUGCUUUAUGCUCGACUGGGGUAUGUCAUGUUAAAAGUUGAUGUCAUGGGUGUUUUGCCAUCCACACACUGUCAUUUCUGUGAUCAUGAGUGUGUAGUUCCUGUUUGAAUACUCUAUAUUAUGAAUCGAGAGAGAGAAAAGAAAAUACUUAUGGAAUUGAUCUAUUUAAUUUCUGAUCAUCUGAAUCUUUCUUCCUUUUUUCCUUGCAUAAGUAAUGUUUCGUUUCAUGGUUGACGAAGAUUAUAUUGUUUUGUACUCUUAAAUCUGAAGCAUUUUGGUUAUGGCUCCCACCAUUUCUCUUCAGCUACUUGAGGAACAAGUUUAGCUCUCA